ACAAUAAUAUCAUUCUCAGCCUUCUCCUCAAUUUUGCUAUUGCUAUUCGAUCUCUUCUUCUUGAUCUUGUUCUUCUCCUGAGUCUUCAACUGGGUGAUCUGUUCUCUGCUCAAGACGUUCUUCAGCUGCUGUGAAUCCCCUGUUUUUCACGCCCUUAGUUUUCUGAGUUUCUCUACAAUCCGAGAAAUCAGCUUUUUUCUGCUGGAAGUUUUGUCUUUCUUCGUUCUCCAUCGUAUUUCCUGAAGAAAACAGGAUUAGUUUUGUCGGCAAUCCUGUUUCCUUCCCAGUCUUUUUUCUCGCUCUGCGAUUCCUCUGUUUUUCCCAUCCAUAGAGGGUUCCAGCAGAACUCUGUUUCACAAAUGGAAACUAUCCUUCAGAAUCGUCCGCCGGUCACUUACACUAACCACAACGACAGUGGAGACAUUCGCUUCUCCCUCUCGGAGCUCAUUCUGAAAGGUUUCGGCUCCAACACUCUCGACUUGAUCUUCUCAAACUCGGACUGGACAAAUUCAACCACCAAUGACGCCCCUGUUCUGGAACCGUUAGGCUCUUCAAUCUAUCUGCUCCACAGAGAUCUUCUGCAAAAGUUUAGCGACCAGAACAAGCCGAACACGUCUCUGACUCGCACCGCUUUGGAACCGGCGCUGCAGCGCUGCGGCGACACGAGCGCAUCCCUUGUUCCAUCGAAGAAGAAGCUGUACAGAGGAGUGAGGCAGAGGCACUGGGGGAAAUGGGUGGCAGAGAUCAGAUUGCCCCAGAACAGGACUAGAGUGUGGCUGGGGACCUACGACUCGGCUGAGUCCGCUGCCUACGCGUAUGACCGCGCCGCGUACAAGUUGAGGGGCGAGUACGCGCGACUGAAUUUCCCCGAACUGAAGGACUUGAAGGACUCGGGGCAUGCUGACAGCAAAAGGCUGAGUGCCGUGAGGAGCUCCGUGGACGCAAAGAUCCACGCGAUAUGCCAGAAGGCGAGGAAGGAAAGAGCGAGACGGAACGCAAGGAAGGGCAACGAGUCAGCGAUGCAGUCCACAUCGUGUUCAUCAUCAUCGUCAUCUUCACGGGGGAGUGAAGGGAUGCUGUCCCCUAGUUGCUCCGAAGAAGAGGAGAUAUGGAGGCUCGCGAAUUCUAAUUCAUCCGCCUCAGGCGGUUGGACCGGGCAGGAAUUGGAGGGCGAAGGCUAUUCGCUCGAGACGAUGCCGUCCUUCGACGCGGAGUUGAUCUGGGAAAUUCUUGCUAAAUGAAAGGAAGACAAUCUGCAAUUCUUUUUUCGGAUGAAUCUGUGACUGAGGAGUUGAUGUUGUUCGGUAGAUGAUCUGUGGUAGUUGUGCCAAAUUGCGUUUUGGAGUUCAAAUUGGGAAUUAGCUUUGGUAGGAAGUGAUGUUCUGAAGUCAUGUUUUGAAAUUAGACUGUUUUAUUCAUCAA